UGGCCACACCUAAGGACCUCACACACCUGCAGCUGAUCAGGAUCGUCGGGGGAGCUACAUAGGAGUGUAGCUGAGAGCUCCUCGACACUGGAUCAUUGAGUUACACUCCAAGUUAGUGUGUGUCAAAGUGUAGUGUCGUGCUGGUCGUGUAUGCCCGCGGGAGUUAGUGUAUGAUGGCUGCCUCUGUUGUUUUCCUGCAGGAGGAGCAUGGAGCAGAAAAGGGCAGCAUGCACGGGGAGUGCGGAGACAUGGGAGCCGAGAGCACAAGCACACAGAUGCCUUGAACAGAGGGCUGGGGGGCAUUUUGUCCCAGCAGGUAAGGGGGUCCACCACCCGAUCCUCUACAUCAGCUAACAGACCGAGAAGGAAAAUACAGCAUGAUCGAAAAGGAAUGCCUGGCUAUCCAGUGGGCAGUCAGCUCCCUUCUGUAUUACCUCCUGGGACACUCAUUCACCCUCUGCUCAGACCAUGCGCCGGUGCAUGAAGGGUACCAACGCCCUUUAACUUCAAGGUGGUUCAUAGGCCGGGGGCGCUACUCUCAAAAACUGUGGAUGCAACACAAAGACAGACUAAUCAACAUAUUUGUUCUAGUUCUGCCUUGAGGCAGCUGUUGUUGUAAUUUGGUGUAAUAUAAAUAAAACUGAACUGAAAUGAAUUCUGGGAUGUCGGUAUCACACCACGAGCCAUAGUGUUAGUAAGAUGUUCCAUGAAAAAUGCUCUAGAAUGCUCCAGCA